rnacentral:sRNA from 1 species
UUGCAAAAGGGAUAGAAGCGGCAUCCUUUUUUUGCUGUGGGAAAUUUUCUAUUUAAAAAAUAAGCGUCGGCAAAAAAAGAUAUAGCGGAUAGCCCGACCCAAG